GCUAUGACCCCCUCAAAGUGAGGAAAUUCGAUGAAGCGGGGGUAAACGGCGGGACAUAAUUAAGAGCCUCUUGAGAUAGCCAAAUGCCUCGUCAUCUAAUUAGUGACAUGCAUGAAU
rnacentral:ncRNA from 1 species